UACGUAGGGUGCAAGCGUUGUCCGGAAUUAUUGGGCGUAAAGAGCUCGUAGGCGGUCUGUCGCGUCGGUCGUGAAAACUUGGGGCUUAACCCUGAGCUUGCGGUCGAUACGGGCAUGACUGGAGUUCGGUAGGGGAGACUGGAAUUCCUGGUGUAGCGGUGAAAUGCGCAGAUAUCAGGAGGAACACCGGUGGCGAAGGCGGGUCUCUGGGACGGUACUGACGCUGAGACGCGAAAGCGUGGGGAGCGAACAGG
rnacentral:rRNA from 1 species